rnacentral:rRNA from 1 species
UACAGAGGUCUCAAGCGUUGUUCGGAUUCAUUGGGCGUAAAGGGUGCGUAGGCGGCGCGGUAAGUCGGGUGUGAAAUCUUGGAGCUUAACUCCGAAACUGCAUUCGAUACUGCCGUGCUUGAGGACUGGAGAGGAGACUGGAAUUUACGGUGUAGCGGUGAAAUGCGUAGAUAUUGUAAGGAAGACCAGUGGCGAAGGCGGGUCUCUGGACAGUUCCUGACGCUGAGGCACGAAGGUCAGGGGAGCAAACGGG